rnacentral:rRNA from 1 species
UACGUAGGAGGCGAGCGUUAUCCGGAUUUACUGGGCGUAAAGAGGGCGUAGGCGGCCUGUCAAGUCAGGUGUAAAAUCUCCCGGCUUAACUGGGAGGGUGCAUUUGAUACUGAUGAGCUAGAGUGCAGCAGAGGGAAGUGGAAUUCUCGGUGUAGUGGUGAAAUGCGUAGAUAUCGGGAGGAACACUAGUGGCGAAGGCGGCUUCCUGGGCUGUAACUGACGCUGAGGCCCGAAGGCGUGGGUAGCAAACAGGAUUAGAUACCCCUGUA